rnacentral:rRNA from 1 species
GAUGAACGCUGGCGGCGUGCUUAACACAUGCAAGUCGAACGAAGCACUUUAUUUGAUUUCCUUCGGGACUGAUUAUUUUGUGACUGAGUGGCGGACGGGUGAGUAACGCGUGGGUAACCUGCCUUGUACAGGGGGAUAACAGUUGGAAACGGCUGCUAAUACCGCAUAAGCGCACGGCAUCGCAUGAUGCAGUGUGAAAAACUCCGGUGGUAUAAGAUGGACCCGCGUUGGAUUAGCUAGUUGGUGAGGUAACGGCCCACCAAGGCGACGAUCCAUAGCCGACCUGAGAGGGUGACCGGCCACAUUGGGACUGAGACAUGGCCCAAACUCCUACGGGAGGCAGCAGUGGGGAAUAUUGCACAAUGGGCGAAAGCCUGAUGCAGCGACGCCGCGUGAGCGAAGAAGUAUUUCGGUAUGUAAAGCUCUAUCAGCAGGGAAGAUAAUGACGGUACCUGACUAAGAAGCACCGGCUAAAUACGUG